UACGUAGGGUGCAAGCGUUAAUCGGAAUUACUGGGCGUAAAGCGUGCGCAGGCGGUUCUAUAAGACAGAUGUGAAAUCCCCGGGCUCAACCUGGGAACUGCAUUUGUGACUGUAGAGCUGGAGUACGGCAGAGGGGGAUGGAAUUCCGGCGUGGUAAGCAGUGAAAUGCGUAGAUAUGCGGAGGAACACCGAUGGCGAAGGCAACUCC
rnacentral:rRNA from 1 species